rnacentral:ncRNA from 2 species
CUCGCUCUAACGGGGUGCCGGAGGUCCUUGGACUUUCCGGCUGAGAGGCGAAGGGUUUUCCCUGCCAACCCGCUGAACCUGAUCCGGUUUGUACCGGCGGAGGGAUUAGACGCUCGCAAAUG